GAUGAACGCUAGCGGCAGGCUUAAUACAUGCAAGUCGAGGGGCAGCACGGGGGCAACCCUGGUGGCGACCGGCAAACGGGUGCGGAACACGUACGCAACCUUCCCAUAACUGGUGAAUAGCCUUUCGAAAGAGAGAUUAAUACACCGUAACAUAAUGAAGAGGCAUCUCUUUAUUAUUAUAGACUUCGGUCGGUUUUGGAUGGGCGUGCGCCUGAUUAGGUAGUUGGCGGGGUAACGGCCCACCAAGCCUGCGAUCAGUAACUGGUGUGAGAGCACGACCAGUCACACGGGCACUGAGACACGGGCCCGACUCCUACGGGAGGCAGCAGUAAGGAAUAUUGGUCAAUGGACGCAAGUCUGAACCAGCCAUGCCGCGUGAAGGAUGAAGGCCCUCUGGGUUGUAAACUUCUUUUAUCUGGGACGAAAAAGCUCAUUCUUGAGCACUUGACGGUACCAGAGGAAUAAGCACCGGCUAACUCCGUGCCAGCCGCCGC
rnacentral:rRNA from 1 species